UGGGGAAUUUUGGACAAUGGGCGAAAGCCUGAUCCAGCAAUGCCGCGUGUGUGAAGAAGGCCUUCGGGUUGUAAAGCACUUUUGCCCGGAAAGAAAUCCUUGGCUCUAAUACAGUCGGGGGAUGACGGUACCGGAAGAAUAAGCACCGGCUAACUACGUGCCAGCAGCCGCGGUAAUACGUAGGGUGCAAGCGUUAAUCGGAAUUACUGGGCGUAAAGCGUGCGCAGGCGGUUUGCUAAGACCGAUGUGAAAUCCCCGGGCUCAACCUGGGAACUGCAUUGGUGACUGGCAGGCUAGAGUAUGGCAGAGGGGGGUAGAAUUCCACGUGUAGCAGUGAAAUGCGUAGAGAUGUGGAGGAAUACCGAUGGCGAAGGCAGCCCCCUGGGCCAAUACUGACGCUCAUGCACGAAAGCGUGGGGAGCAAACAGGAUUAGAUACCCUGGUAGUCCACGCCCUAAACGAUGUCAACUAGUUGUUGGGGAUUCAUUUCCUUAGUAACGUAGCUAACGCGUGAAGUUGACCGCCUGGGGAGUACGGUCGCAAGAUUAAAACUCAAAUGAAUUGACGGGGUCAUAGCUGUUUCCU
rnacentral:rRNA from 1 species